GUAGGCUAUGGAGACAUCUACCCACAAACACUCCUUGGCAAAAUAGUCGGUGGACUGUGCUGCAUUGCGGGUGUGCUAGUCAUCGCCCUGCCUAUUCCCAUCAUUGUGAAUAAC
rfam:Scleropages formosus scaffold2046, whole genome shotgun sequence.